rnacentral:rRNA from 1 species
AUACGGAGGGUGCAAGCGUUGUUCGGAAUCACUGGGCGUAAAGGGCGCGCAGGCGGUUUGGUAAGUCAGAUGUGAAAGCCCACGGCUCAACCGUGGAAGUGCAUUUGAAACUGUCAGACUUGAGUACUAGAGGGGAAAGUGGAAUUCCCGGUGUAGAGGUGAAAUUCGUAGAUAUCAGGAGGAAUACCGGUGGCGAAGGCGACUUUCUGGCUAGAUACUGACGCUGAGGCGCGAAAGCGUGGGGAGCAAACAGGAUUAGAAACCCUAGUAGUCC